rnacentral:lncRNA from 1 species
GGCUUUUGCAAUCACCAUAGGAAGAAGAUUCCACAGUAGCCUGUGAUUCCAGAAGAAUGAAAGACAUGUGGAGCAGCUAUGGACCAAGUUAACUAGAAGCCAACUUAGAUUAGCCAUUCUUCAGCCACAGACAUGCAGCACGUGGUUGGGUGCAGCUUGCAAUCACAAAUCAAAACGGAAGAGGAAGAGGACAACUGUAUAAAGCAGCGUGAUUUAAGUUGAUCUGUGGGACAAAGAGUUAAGCCACAAAUAUUUGGGGAGAGAGAUAUUCAAACAUCCCAACAACUUGGAGCAGCAUGGGAUUUCUAAAGAAGCUGACAAAGGAGAAAAGGCCCAAGAAAGCAACUCUGAAUCAAAAAGCCAUUAACUCUUUGAGAAUGUCUUACUGGUCUUACUCUGACCAGUAAGAAAGAGUAGACAGAACAAUAAAACUUUAUCUUUUUUCCCUUAUGUGCACUACUCUGGGACAUUUUCUCUCAACUGCUUGUCCAGAUAUGUCCUGUGGCUCCCUAUUAAGUGAUGGCACCUGUUAUACAGCUGCGUGUGAAGGAGUGGCCAGUAACACGUCACUUUGCAUUACUUUCCAUCCUCUGUUCUUCCUUUCCUUUUCCCUCACUUUUGCUGGCUGGGAUUUUAUCUCAAAAUAAGAUAUUAGCUCUUAACCCUUGCCUAAGACUCUAUUUUAGGAUAGCAUGGAAUAAGAUCGUGGAUUAUCUUUGAAAUUAUCCAGGCUAUUUCUAUUGAAAAAGACACUAUUAAAAUGACCAUAGUAAGUAAUGUAUUAAGAUGGGAUUUUCUUUAGAAAUGUUACCAUAAAUUCAUAUUUUGUUUUGAUUUCCAAGUAGACUUACCAGUUUAACAUAAU